rnacentral:rRNA from 1 species
GAAACUCCCGAUUGCGAAGGGCAGCCAACAAGGGCCUUUACUGACGCUAAAGCUCGAAGUGCGGGUAUCGAACAGGAUAGAUACCCUGGUAGUCCGCACGGUAAACGAUGGAUGCCCGCUGUUUGCGAUAUACUGUGAGCGGCCAAGAGAAAUCGUUAAGCAUCCCACCUGGGGAGUACGCCGGCAACGGUGAAACUCAAAGGAAUUGACGGGGGCCCGCACAAGCGGAGGAACAUGUGGUUUAAUUCGAUGAUACGCGAGGAACCUUACCCGGGCUUGAACUGCCAGCGAACGAUUCAGAGAUGAUGAGGUCCUUCGGGACGCUGGUGGAGGUGCUGCAUGGUUGUCGUCAGCUCGUGCCGUGAGGUGUCGGCUUAAGUGCCAUAACGAGCGCAACCCUUUUCUUUAGUUGCCAUCAGGUAAUGCUGGGCACUCUGGAGAUACUGCCACCGUAAGGUGUGAGGAAGGUGGGGAUGACGUCAAAUCAGCACGGCCCUUACGUCCGGGGCUACACACGUGUUACAAUGGGGGGUACAGAGAGUCGGAUAUACGCAAGUAUGUUCUAAUCCUUAAAGCCUUCCUCAGUUCGGAUUGGGGUCUGCAACCCGACCCCAUGAAGCUGGAUUCGCUAGUAAUCGCGCAUCAGCCAUGGCGCGGUGAAUACGUUCCCGGGCCUUGUACACACCGCCCGUCAAGCCAUGAAAGCCGGGGGCGCUUGAAGUCCGUGACCGCAAGGAUCGGCCUAGAGCGAAACUGGUAAUUGGGGCUAAGUCGUAACAAGGUAACCGUA